rnacentral:lncRNA from 7 species
UAUCGUAAUGGAGAAGCUGGUGGCACCAAAGAUUGUGAAGUUCUUGUGGGAACUAGGGGGCUUGACACAUCCCUUGCAUCUUCCAUUUACUCUGACCACAGUCCCUCCCUGUUCUCUCAAGUGGAGCUAAGCCCUGCUUCCCUCCCUCUUGAUUCCCAGACAGCUACAUGUGUUGGGUAUGUUUCCAGUCUUCUACUGGAAUUUUCUACCAAGUAAUUCCUUUUGAAGUAUGGACCUGAUUCAAGCCUGAAGUAGAGUGACUUUUCUGAAUGUGACAAAGCUGUAGCCUGGAGCACUAAAAUGCUAGGAAUGUGUCCUCAAAGGCUGGAGAUCCCACACCUAUGGGUGGAGCACUCAGCAUCCAUCUAUGCUCUGAAAGAUUUAAAAUUGAUGAAACUUGCAUUCUUGCCAGUUCUAAGAAGAAAAUAAUUAAGAUUUUAAUCUUUGUACCCUUGAAUCUGUAGUUCUGAUCUGUCAGUUCUUCUGCCUGGAGAGAGUAGCAUACAUAGAUGACAUGGCUCAAUUAUUAUGAAGUCCUUAUUGUUUUUUGUUUCUGAUGGUCAGUUGUCAUGAUUCAGGGUGGGGAGCCAGUAGCUGUACUUAAGGCAUAUUUUUUCAGUUGCAUUUUUGCAAGUCUGGAAGCCUAAAGACAUAUAUGUAUAUGUGUAUAAAAUGUAUGUAUAUAAAAAUAAUGUUGUUUAAAUAUUUACAUAUAAAGCCAAGAGAUUGGCUUCCUUCCCAGAAUUACUGGAACUACCUUCCCCAGGAACAUUUGGACUUGAAAAAUCUCUACAGCAACACUUUUCUUCAAAAACUAAACAACUUGUGAAGUGAGGGACUAGCUCUGCACCCUUUGCUGUUCAUAUUGGUUCUGUUGUUUGGGGUGAUGGAAUGAGAAAGGGGAGAGACUCCCAUGCAUGAGCAAUACAUUUCCAGUUAAUU